rnacentral:lncRNA from 10 species
UCUCAGACAGCUAAGAACCCAUCAGCUUUAUGAAGCCUUCCUGAAAGAGAGGUUCUGCAGAAAUCUUAUCUCCCCAACUAGCAUGUUAGUACUUCAUGGAAAGAAACUGUGUAUUGGAUUGAUUUUUAAUUUUUUAGUUUUUAACUUUUGUGGUACAUAAUAGGUAUAUAUAUUUGUGAGAUACAUGAGAUGUUUUGAUACAGGCAUGCAAUAUGUAAUAAUCCCAUAAAGGAAAAUGGGGUAUCCAUGCCCUCAGGCAUUUAUCCUUUGUGUUACAAUCUAAUUUUACUCUUUUAGUUAGUUAAAAAUGUACAAUUAAAUUAUCUUUACUUGGACAUUGUUAUAUCAACAUUGUGUAGUAAAGUUCUGUGCACAGUUUAGAUGUUUAAUGCAUAUUUAAGGCCUAACUGAACAUGUUCCUUGAACCUUUUUCUGGCACCUGCCCUCCUUAACCCACUAAGUUUGAGAAGAAAUUGGGAGAUGAAAGAUGGUCCAACUACCUUCCCGUCCCUCAGUUUAUAUCACGCUAUGGUAAACUCGUGGCAUCAGAAGUAUUUAUCCUCAACCCUCCAGCCUCCCCUUCCUAGUAUCCCCUCUUAACACCAAAUAACCAAUGAAUAGAGGAGUAGGUACAGACUAGAGAGCCUGGGCUCAGCUGCAGCCCAACUUAGCAGUGUUUCAGUUGAAAAGAACUUCUUCUCAGGCAAGAAAUAACUAAGAUCAGAGCAGAACUGAAGGAAAUAGAGACACAAAAAUCCCUUCAAAAAACUAAUGAAUCCAGGAGCUGGUUUUUUGAAAAGAUCAACAAAAUUGAUAGACUGCUAGCAAGACUAAUAAAGAAGAAAAUAGAGAAUAAUCAAAUAGACUCAAUAAAAAGUGAUAAAGGGGAUAUCACCACCGAUCCCACAGAAAUACAAACUACCAUCAGAGAAUACUAUAAACAUCUCUGCGCAAAUAAACUAGAAAAUCUAGAAGAAAUGGAUAAAUUCCUCGACACAUACACCCUCCCAAGACUAAACCAGGAAGAAGUUCAAUCUCUGAAUAGACAAAUAACAGGCUCUGAAAUUGAGGCAAUAAUCAAUAGCUUACCAACCAAAAAAGUCCAGGACCAGAUGGAUUCACAGCCGAAUUCUACCAGAGGUACAAGGAGGAGCUGGUACCAUUCCUUCUGAAACUAUUCCCAUCAAUAGAAAAAGAGGGAACCCUCCCUAACUCAUUUUAUGAGGCCAGAAUCAUCCUGAUACCAAAGCCGGGCAGAGACACAACCAUAAAAGAGAAUUUUAGACCAAUAUCCUUGAUGAACAUUGAUGCAAAAAUCCUCAAUAAAAUACUGGCAAACUGAAUCCAGCAGCACAUCAAAAAGCUUAUCCACCAUGAUCAAGUGGGCUUCAUCCCUGGGAUGCAAGACUGGUUCAACAUAUGCAAAUCAAUAAAUGUAAUCCAGCAUAUAAACAGAACCAAAGACAAAAACCACAUGAUUAUCUCAAUAGAUGCAGAAAAGGCCUUUGACAAAAUUCAACAACUUUCAUGCUAAAAACUCUCAAUAAAUUAGGUGUUGAUGGGACAUAUCUCAAAAUAAUAAGAGCUAUCUAUGACAAACCCACAGCCAAUAUCAUACUGAAUGGGCAAA